rnacentral:rRNA from 1 species
AACGAACGCUGGCGGCAUGCCUAACACAUGCAAGUCGAACGAGACCUUCGGGUCUUUUGGCGCACGGGUUCGUAACGCGUGGGAACCUUCCCUUAUGGUCGGAAUAACUCCCCGAAAGGGGUGCUAAUACCGGAUAAUGUCUUCUGACCGAAGAUUUAUCGCCUUUGGAUGUUCCCGCGUUGGAUUAGCUAGUUGGUAGGGUAAAAGCCUACCAAGGCGACGAUCCCUAGCUGGUCUGAGAGACAGAUCAGCGACACUGGGACUGAGAAACGGCCCAGACUCCUACGGGAGGGAGGAGUGGCGGAUAUUGGAACAUGGGGGAAAGGAUGAUCGACCACUGACGGGUGAGCGAUGAAGGCAUUAGGGUUGUAAAGCUCUUUUACCCGGGAUCAUAAUGACAGUACCGGGAGAAUAAGCUCCGGCUAACUCCGUG